AGCGAACGCUGGCGGCAGGCCUAAAACAUGCAAGUCGAACGAGGUCCAAGGAGCUUGCUCUGGAAGACCUAGUGGCGAACGGGUGCGUAACACGUGAGAAACCUGCCCCGAUCUCUGGGAUAACAGUUGGAAACGACUGCUAAUACCGGAUGCCGUCACACCGCUUCAUGGCGGAGUGCCGAAAGAUUUAUCGGAUCGGGAGGGUCUCGCGGCCUAUCAGCUAGUUGGAGAGGUAACGGCUCACCAAGGCAUCGACGGGUAGCUGGUCUGAGAGGAUGAUCAGCCACACUGGGACUGAGACACGGCCCAGACACCUACGGGUGGCUG
rnacentral:rRNA from 1 species